UAGCUCAUUGGUAAAGUACUUGCCUGGCAAGCAUGAAGUCUUGGGUUUGAUUCCCAG
rnacentral:tRNA from 1 species